rnacentral:rRNA from 1 species
UACGGAGGGUGCAAGCGUUAAUCGGAAUUACUGGGCGUAAAGGGCUCGUAGGCGGCCAACUAAGUCAGACGUGAAAUCCCUCGGCUUAACCGGGGAACUGCGUCUGAUACUGGAUGGCUUGAGAUUGGGAGAGGGAUGCGGAAUUCCAGGUGUAGCGGUGAAAUGCGUAGAUAUCUGGAGGAACACCGGUGGCGAAGGCGGCAUCCUGGACCAACACUGACGCUGAGUGAGCGAAAGCCAGGGGAGCAAACGGG